GGCUCAGGACGAACGCUGGCGGCACGCUUAACACAUGCAAGUCGAACGGAGUUAUCGAGAGCUUGCUUUGAUAACUAGUGGCGGACGGGUGAGUAACACGUGAGCAAUCUGCCCUUAAGAGGGGGAUAGCAGUUGGAAACGACUGAUAAUACCGCAUAAGAUAGUAGUACCGCAUGGUACAGCUAUAAAAGAUUUAUCGCUUAAGGAUGAGCUCGCGUCUGAUUAGCUAGUUGGUGAGGUAACGGCUCACCAAGGCAACGAUCAGUAGCCGGACUGAGAGGUUGGACGGCCACAUUGGGACUGAGACACGGCCCAGACUCCUACGGGAGGCAGCAGUGGGGAAUAUUGCACAAUGGAGGAAACUCUGAUGCCAGCGAUGCCGCGUGAGGGAAGAAGGUUUUAGGAUUGUAAACCUCUGUUGACAGGGACGAUAAUGACGGUACCUGUUGAGGAAGCUCCGGCUAACUACGUGCCAGCAGCGGC
rnacentral:rRNA from 1 species